rnacentral:lncRNA from 1 species
UUAAUUGCAGGAUUCAAGAAAAUAAGAGGUUUAAAUAAAUAAAACCAAAAUAGUAAUUCAAACCAUAAUUCUACUAGUGUGUAUGCCAGGACCUAAUGUCACAAGUGUAUGUGCAUCUAAUAAAUUAUACAAACUUCUAAAUACCGUCUGAACAUAGAAUAGACAGAAUACAAAUAGAAAGAGAGACACUAGGUGUUGCGGAACGGCUCAGGAAAGACAGCUCACCACUAAGCCUCGGGAUAACGGAGAUGCACACCGGUAGGACCACUUGAUACACCUGUCUCAGAUCCUGCACAAAAAGUGCAGCAAGUGUAGCAUGAGUACGUAAACAACGUGUACCCAGUAAGUAUCAAGUUUAAUCUCGAAGAAGUAGUGACGAGAGGUCGACUUCAACACUCACUAUGUGUCAAUAAUAUUAAGAUGGAAAUAUUUAAAUAGACACAAUUUAUGUGAAUAAUAACAAGUUCUUUAGCAAGCAAAAAUAAAUAAUUUUUUCCCAAUUAAAUAAUUUUUAAUAAGUUAUUUAUCUUCACAAGCUGCAAUAAAUAUCAAAGAAUCGUGAAAUUUUUAUUAUUAAGCACGAUUUAUGCCGAGGUCAUACGACCCAAUCCGGAAUAGUGUAUACACUGCCGAGGGUCAAACGGCACGAACCAUAGAUGCAUAUAUCUACUGCCAAGGCGUUCGGCCCGCUCCGCAAGAAGAGAAGGAUAUUUUAUAAGCGUUUGACUGAAAUAUCAAUGUCAUUUUAUACAAAAAUAAUACGAAUUUCAUUAGCAGUCUUUCACAAUUUCUCUAACAAAUACUAAUAAAAUUUAGGCAUUUUUAAAUUAACAAGUAUGUGCAAAAUUCCAAAUAAUUGAUAAUUUAGUCCUAAAACUACCCGAACAAUAGCAUAAUAGUAGCUACGCACGGACUCUCAUCAACUCGUACGUACGUAGCUGUCACACCCCUUUUUUUUCACCACCUCAACCCUCUUUAAAAUGAUAAAGGUGAUUUUAAAGCUCAAAAGGGUUUCAAUUUGAAAAGUGACAAAAGUUGUGUUUUAAAAGAUUUUUUAGAAUCGCCACCUGACAUUUGGUUUCGGUGUGCCAGGUCACCAUUUUUAAGAAAUAAUUUUUUUUCCUUUAAAACACAUUUAGACUCCACAACUAGUUUGCACUAGAGAUUCUAAGUAAGGGGGUUCAUUUGACUCGGGGAGAAGGUGUUAGGCAUUCCCCGAGUCCGAUAACUAGUACGACUGCACACUUGAUCAAAUCGGCUUUAAAGAGUAUUCAAACUGAGGCAAAACACAUCAAAGAAAAAUAAACACGCAAGAGGCUCGAGGAUGUCCCCACCUAAAUAAAAUAAAAUAAAAUAAGAGAAAAAUACUAAAAGUUUAUACUAUGCUCAUCCACGAAGUCUGUCACAACCUCCAAUCACUUUCACUAUGGGGCAUACCCCGGAUAAAAUAUAUAUAAGUUCUUCGAGGUAUUUUCCGGAUAAAUUUAACCAAGGGACAACCUCUAGCCUCGCAGAAUAAAUAAACGACCUAAUAUUUGCCUACCCACGUGUGGUCGGCCUAAACAUGCUACUAGCGAAUAAUAUCACAAAAUAAAUAAAUAAAUAAAAGGGAACCAAAUAAAAGGAAAAUUUUAAAUCAUGCUCAAAUUCUUUUGACUUUUAUUUUAUGUAUUUGACUAGGCUCAAUUCCUAAAACAUGUAAACCAUUUAAUCACUAAUGAGUUUCGUCUCCCCCCAUUCUCACUUGCGCCUCUUUAAUAAUGCAGCAUUUACAUGGAAUUUUCUUUACUUAUAAAAUAAUUGAUAUCAUGAGACAACUGUUUUUUUUUUUUUGAUAAGAGGGGAAACCCGCAGCCGCUACAAUUUCUGCCACGGCCUCUGCCCUUCGGGUGAGCACUCUGUGGUGAGCACUUUGUGCGCACUGGGUAAACCUCCCCUUGUGUAAUAGCCUGCAAACCACACAAUGGAUGUAAGCCGCACUAGGCAAGCCCUGUGCGGCAGGCUCAACCCAGAAGGCAUUGAGGGGUGGUUCGAUCCCAAGUCAUCCAUAUGGAUGACCACCCUCCAAACCAAUUGGGCAACCCCGAAGGGUAUGAGACAACUGUUCCUUAGCACAAAAGCACCAUUUUUUUUUUUCCAGUCAUGAACAUAUCAAAAGGAGAGAUUCAGCAUAUAUGCUUGAAGGCAAAUUUCAACUUUCAUCCACAAAGUAAAACGUAUUUUUUUGAAGAAAAUCAAACAUGGAAGUGACACCUACAUAGGACUGCAGAUGGUUCAUACAAGCAACUAAGUUAACUUUUAAGGUGAGAGUUCUAUUAUAUUCAAGCUUUACUAAUGAACACUGACAAAUUCUUAAUAAUAACAAUAACAACCCAGUAUAAUUUCAUUAGUGGGGUAUGAAGAUAGUAGUGUGUACGCAGACCUUACUCCUACCCUGGGGUAGAGAGGCCGUUUCCGAUAGACCCUCGGCUGCCUCCCUCUAAGAACUACUCACCUUGCUCUUGGGGUGACUCGAACUCACAACCUCUAGGUUGGAAGUGGAGGGUGCUUGACUCGAAAUCCUUAAUAACAGAGAUGAACAAAAACUAUCGCAGGCUAACAAAAUCAGGAGGAGCCAUGGCAAGUGGACAAUCUAAUAACUCAGAAUUCAUGCUAAAAUAUAGAUGCUCGAGCUAGGAUACCCCCCUCGUAAUCUCAACAAAUCAACGAGACGGAGGACAAAAUCAAAGCUCUCAGACAAGACCAACAAACAAACUGGAACAUCUACCCUUUCACAUACGGUUUCACGGCCAUAAAAUCACAGAACAUUACUCUAAUGCUAUUAAUAGGCUUGCAUUUAACAGAACUCAACUCGACUAAAGCUUAGCAGGGAUUCAUAAUAUGUUUCUUGAACAUUAAACGGGGCCAACAGAGGCGACGAGACACAGGGAACAUCUUCAGCAAAUAAAUUUCAGCAAAAGCGACUCGAAUAUACAUUUCGUUUCACACUCAAUUUCAACCAAACAUAUAAAACACUGAUUCAAACCGCAAGGGAAGUGCAUCACUGAUUCAUAAUUUACGCAACAGUCAGAUUUUAGUCAAAAACACGCGACAAGCAAAUUCACACUCAAAUAAUUUAAACACGGUCACUUGACUCAAGUCAUAACAACUUUCAACAAAAUAUUACUUCUAAGUUUACUCAGCUAUUGGAAUCAGAAAACAAAUUCAGAAACUAGUAUUUUUCUUUCAAUUAGACCAAAGGCUUGAACAACUUUUAAUCCAUUUAAACCCCCGGCUCUCAUCAUCAUUUAAUCACACCUUCAAAAUAAGAGAAAAAGAGUUGAACCUGAAUAAGAGUUUUUCGAUUACUUCUGUUCGGAAGCUAUUACAAGCAAAUCCGGCACCGGAAUUCGAAUGUCCAGCAGCAAACGAGCAAAACAGCAAUAAAAAUGGAUUCGGAACCACGAAUUUGAACCUCAUGAGCAGUCAACGGACCUCAGCUAAUCUCCAUGUUUUCGGAACCCAAAAAUCAGAGAGGAAACUUGAAAAUAGCUGUGUAUUUUCGAAUUUAGAAUCAAAUUGAAACUAAGAAGAAUUGAAAUCUUUUUUUUUUUCCUUUUAUCUAUGAAUGAACAAGAACCCAAAAUCAGAAAAAGGAAAAUUUCCAUCUCAAAAAACCCCCAAUACGGUAGUUCUUUGUCCCUAUUUUUAUCCAAAAUCCUUUUUUUGGAUUGUUUUAAAUAGUAGGAAUACAAUUGAUCAUAUCAGCUUCAGGAACUGUGACCAAAAUUAGG